UGUUUGGUGUUUAUUUUGUAGUACUUGACACCACUUUCCCAUCAACAAUGUCUUCCUCAAUGGUCUUCACCGUGAUGGUUUUAGUAGAGCUCACUACUCCUCCUCCUCCUCCUCCCCCACCAUUUUCCAGCAUCUCCUACCUGGUUGCUCCUCCAUCCAGCAGUCUCCUGUACUCCGCGAUCUCCAUCUCCAGCCGGGUCUUGAUGUCCAACAGCAUUUGAUACUCCUGAGAUUGUCUGUCCAUGUCACCUCUGAGGUGAACGAUCUGCUCCUCCAGACUUGUUACACGAGCCUGCAGCUGAGUCAGCUGUAUGGAGUAACGCGAUUCUGUAUCUGCAAGAGUUCCCUCAAGAGACCUUUUCUGUAGAAUAGAGAGAAGGUGGUAUUUAUUAGCACAGACUGGAAUAAUAAGUAUAUGUUGGGUAAAAAAACAGCCUGCCAAACUUAACCCAGCCUAAGAUGAUUUUCUUAUCAGGUUCCAAGCAUUGUCAGGAUUGUCUAGGUUGCUG